GCUACACAAGAUCAAUGCAGAAACAGAUCCGGGUGGUGAUAGCGGCUCACACCUUUAAUCCCAGUACUAGGAGGUCACACACCUUUAAUCCCAGCACCAAAGGAGAAUAUAAGAUGAGAAGAGACAGAGGCUCAGAGCUCAGUCUGCAGUGCCCAGCCUUGGUAGAGGCAUGUCUGCUCCUGGCAGCACCAAUUUACUUCAGAGAAGAUAAUGGGCAUCAAAGACACGCCACAUGGAUUUCACUGUCUUUGUGGCACAAGUAAGCCACUGGGAAAAUAUAAGAUGAGAGGAGGCAGAGGCUCAAAGCCCAGUUUGCAGUCACCCAGCCUUAGUAGAGAACUUUCAGCUGGCAAUGGAUGGAGAUAGAGACAGAG